rnacentral:rRNA from 1 species
GAUGAACGCUGGCGGCGUGCCUAAUACAUGCAAGUCGAGCGAACAGAUCAGGCUCUUGCUCCUUUGACGUUAGCGGCGGACGGGUGAGUAACACGUGUGUAACCUACCUAUCAGACUGGUAUCACUUCGGGAAUCCGGCUCUAAUCCCGGAUAAUAUUUCGAUCCGCAUUGUUCGAUGGUGAAAGAUGGUUUUGCUGUCUCUUAUAGAUGGUCCCGCGCCGUAUUAGCUAGUUGGUAAGGUAACGGCUUACCAAGGCGACGAUACGUAGACGACCUGAGAGAGUGAUAGGCGACCCGGGAACGGGGACAGGGACCAGACGACUGAGAGAGGGAGCAGAAGGGAAUGGUACGCAAUGGGCGAAAGCAUGACGGAGCAACGCCGCGUGAGUGAUGAAGGUCUUCGGAGCGGAAAAAUCGGUUAUGAGGGAAGAACAGACGUGGAAGGAAAUGUGCACGGCGUGACGGUAACGAAUCAGAAAGCAACGGCUAACUACGUG